UUGACAGAAAAAGAUUUUUUUCAUUAUCGAAAGGGACAUGUACAACAUCCAUAAUGGUGUGUCUGAUGGAAUUUGUCAUUUCAUUAAUAAAUAAUGCUGAUAAAGAUGCAAACUUAGCAAUUGUGCCUAAAAAGUGACAGCUUUGACAAGGAAAUAUAUCCAUAUAUAACAGUUACUGGUACUGUCUGAAUGCAGUGAAAGGAUCCAGAUGAACAGAUGAAGAGAUUAAGUACAAUGUACAUCAAUUACUUGGAUGAAGAGAAUCUGCAACAUGGGGAAAUAAUGUUCCUAUAGAAAAGUCAAAGAAUGUAUACAUGUGAGAUUCUGAAGUAGCC